rnacentral:rRNA from 1 species
GAUGAACGCUGGCGGCAUGCCUAAUACAUGCAAGUCGAACGAGAGGAAGGAAAGCUUGCUUUUCUGAAUCUAGUGGCGAACGGGUGAGUAACACGUAGGUAACCUGCCCAUGUGCCCGGGACAACUUCUGGAAACGGAUGCUAAAACCGGAUAGGUAGCAGACAAGCAUUUGACUGCUAUUAAAGUGGCUAAGGCCAUGAACAUGGAUGGACCUGCGGUGCAUUAGCUAGUUGGUGAGGUAACGGCCCACCAAGGCGACGAUGCAUAGCCGGCCUGAGAGGGCGGACGGCCACAUUGGGACUGAGACACGGCCCAAACUCCUACGGGAGGCAGCAGUAGGGAAUUUUCGUCAAUGGGGGGAACCCUGAACGAGCAAUGCCGCGUGAGUGAGGAAGGUCUUCGGAUCGUAAAGCUCUGUUGUAAGAGAAAAACGACAUUCAUAGGGAAUGAUGAGUGAGUGAUGGUAUCUUACCAGAAAGUCACGGCUAACUACGUGCCAGCAGCCGCCGCAG